UGCUAUUUCUUUCUCUUGUUGUCUUAGUUUAGAUAUUUGACUUGCGAACAGUAUACUAUUUGUUUUUUGGGUGGUAUUUAUUGGUUGGUACCUGGUUGGGAUUCUGUUAAGCAGUGGUGCUCUUUGAUUCUGCACUUGCUAAGUUAUCAUUUUUACUGGAAUAUGCCAUUAGUGUUUGUGUGUUAAGAUUUAUGUAGUGAUGAUGAUUAACAUAGUCUUAAAAUUGAAAAGUUGAUUGGGAUUUCAUCUAUUGAGUACGCUACAGGUUGUUAUGCGUACUCAUGAACUGCUCUUUGUUUUCAGGGAAAUAGUAUUACUCUAGCUGCUCAAUCUUCAUUCCUGAUUUCUAUUUUUGAGGAUUUUGAAAUGUUUACGAUGUUUUACAAGAAGUCAUGAUAUCAAUAUAGAUGUCCUCAACAUGUAUUAAGUAGUUCUCCAAUCUUCUUGCAAAGAAUACUUUAGCUAAUAUAAAUUUAAAUUCAGGUCGUUGCUUAUUGCCUUCAUAAUCCCAAAUGAACUUCCAUCUGUUUAUUUGAUUCAUGGGAGGCAUAUAUUGAUAUUGGGAGUUCGCUGAUAGCACCUUUCUAUUUUCCAGGGGGUGUUUCAAUAGUACCUCUUCAUACACACAAAUUUGUCUUUGUUUAUGCAUAGCUUCAUUUAGGAAGUUCUUUACCAAUCUUUAUAUGGAUAAGAUAGGUAUAGUAGAUCUCGUGGUUUUUAUGUUUUAGCCACCUAAAGAACAGAUUUUGACUGGCUGCAGCCAUUUUAUCUGCAAUGUGUAAAGAAGUUCUGGUGUAGAAUAUAGACGUGAAAAAUUACUCUUCCCGGUUGCUUUCUGUUCUGCUUUCUUAUAAUUCUCUUCAAAAUAACUAGCUUAAUAUCUUUUAUCCAUGUCGGAACAAAGUUAGCUCUAUAUCUUGUUUAAAUCUCUUAUAUAAAAUUUCACUAAUUUGUUCCAUUGUUGUUGUUAUUGGUACCAUUCUCAGAAUUGACAUUUACUGAUUUAAGAUGGAAGAGAAAUUAUGUAAUUGAAGAAUAACUGUUCUGAUGUAGUAUUAGUUUGUAUGUGAGACAGCCAAGUAUGUACUAUUUCACUGUUUUGCAAUGAUGUACUUUUGAAGCUUGUCAAACGGGCAUAUCUAAUAAAGACAUUCAACAGAAACAGCAGAGAGGGAAUCACAGCUGAUAUUCCUUUGUUAAUGACCCUUAUUCAUACUUGUUUUCUGGAUUUCUAAAAAAUGCAUGGCAUAAAUGACUCCAUAUGAAAUAAUGUUUGCUAGUCCUAAGGCAUUUGCCUGCAAAAUCUAGAAUUAGAAAA